GUUUUAUUGCUUACUGUCCACUACAGCAGGAGUCAUUUUGCACUUAAAAAAAAGACUUUGUAAGUUAUAAACUUACCAGACAUCAGCAAGAAUGAGCUUAUCUACAUACACUACUGUCCCCUCAUAUGGAAUUCGUCAUGCUCGUUUCUUUUGGACUUCAGUGUUUGGAGACGUGAAUUGGCGUAAAGCUUGGCGAACAGUGGAUACUUUUUUAUUGAUAAUAAAGUAAAAGAAGUGUCCAUUAAAAUAGUGCAUUGGAUGUAUACAGCUAAACAUGUACGGGAAAGUUUUAAACUGAAUAUUCACUACUCUUGUUGUUUUUGUCAUAUUGAAUAAGAAACCAUAUAGUUUUCCAUGGCAUUCACACAAAAUGUUUUGGGUUAAUGUGGAACGUUUUAUUAUGAAGAGUUAAACAUUGCUUUACAGCUGACGGGAUUUGACAUAUUGCUGUACUUUAAUGAUCAAGGUUUGGAUAAAGAUGAAAUAUAUCUAAACAAUCGUUAAUUUUACAGGGAAAUUUUAACAUUCCUGAAAUGAAAUGAUUGUUUAUUUUAAUAUUUCACAAAAUUGUACAACUAGAAAAGCAAUCAGAGCUUUUAAAAUUACGAACAAAUAUGCUAUUGUUGAUUAACCCUAUUCUUUUAUUAUUUAUUUUAUUUUUCUCUCUCUUUUUUGCUCCAAGUAAUCAGACUCCGGCUUAUAUAAUGUGAAUGUUUCUCUUUGUAUUCACGAUAUGGCAUUAAUAAAAGCAACAACGACAUCAAAAAUACA